rnacentral:rRNA from 1 species
CCUACGGGGGGCAGCAGUGGGGAAUAUUGCGCAAUUGGCGAAAGCCUGACGCCGUGACGCCGCGUGAGGGAUGAAGGUCUUCGGAUCGUAAACCUCUGUCAGCAGGGAAGAACGGUCACUGUGCUAAUCAGCAGUGAAUUGACGGUACCUGCAAAGGAAGCACCGGCUAACUCCGUGCCAGCAGCCGCGGUAAUACGGAUGGUGCGAGCGUUAAUCGGAAUUACUGGGCGUAAAUCGCUCUUAGGCGGUAUGUCAAGUCAAGGGUGAAAUCCCCGCGCUCAACGUGGGAACGGCCUUUGAAACUGGCAAACUUGAGGGUGUGAGAGGAUAGUGGAAUUCCAGGUGUAGGAGUGAAAUCCGUAGAUAUCUGGAGGAACAUCAGUGGCGAAGGCGACUAUCUGGCACAUAACUGACGCUGAGGAGCGAAAGCGUGGGUAGCAAACAGGAUUAGAUACCCUGGUAGUC